UCUUACCUCGUGCGAUAAGUAGGUACUAAUACUUAAAUGGAUAUUCGUGUUUCGUGUUGUAAAUUCGUUAUAUCGCGUUAUAUUUGAUGGAAUUUAGUGUUAAUAGACGGGUUUUAGUCGCUAAAUAUUUAUCGCGUGUGUAAUCUUCAGAAUUCAAUGUUUUGUGUGUUUAUUUCAGUUUCGCGUGUAUCUGGGAUCGCUUACGGUCGGACGCCAGUCGGCCAUGUUGUGUGAUUGUAAAUAAUAUUUUGGAGUUGUGCGAACCAUUUUUGUCUUCAGCAGAACAGGACGGGCGGCUGUUCUACCUUUAUCUACUCGUAUUUGAUUUACGGCGUUCGAUACAGUGGUUAGUGAAAUUUUUCAUCGUUCAUAGGAACUAUUUUUCGAUUUUACGGUUUUCCUGCAAUUAGAGAAUGAAUAUCUUAAACUUCUUUUUGCGGAAAUUUUGGUCAAGCAUUUCCCAGAAAAUUUGAAAAUGGAAAUCCAACUUUUUAUUACGGAUGCUCAGAGCGAUGUUUAAUUGAAAAAACGUCGCUUUGAACACUUUAUCAUAGUAAAAUUGACUAAACGUCAACUAAGACGUACUAAGACGUAAUUUGACUAAACUGACAUUUUACGGAUAAAAAUUAAAUUUGAAAAUUUGAAGUUUUUAUUUUGAAUGUUGCCAUAAAAAGUCCUCCUGAGCAUUUUAUUUUAGUAAAAUUUAAUCUUGAACCAAUAGUUUUCCCGCAAUUUGAUAAAAUGUAGACACAUGUUCCACAGAAAAAUUAAAUUUGGAAAUUUAAAGUUUUCAUUUUGUAGGUUCAUGUAAGAAGCCCUCCUCAGCAUUUUAUUUUAGUAAAAUUUUAUUCUUUAACUAAUAGUUUUCCCGCAAUUUGAUAAAAUGAAAACACAUUUUCCACAAAAAAAAAUAAAUUUGUAAAUUUUAAAUUUUUAUUUUGGAUGUUGUUAUAAGAGUAAACCGUUCUCCUGAUCAUUUUAUUUUAGUAAAAUUUUACUGUUGGACUCGUAGUUUACCCGUAAUUUGGUCAAAUGUGAUAAUAAUUUUAAGCAGAAAACUUUCAGUUGAAAUUUAUAAUUUUUUCGACUGAAGUUGCAACAAAACGUUUAUACGAGCCUUUUAUUUAAGUACAAAUUGUCUUUAGAAUUAAGUUGCAAUUGUUCAUUGCUAAAAUAUAAACUUAAAUAGUAUAGCAAUACAUGUUCAAAUUAAAAAUCGCUUAAAUACUUGAUGUAAAAUCUUAUUGCAUAAAAAAUAAUAAUUUCAUGAUUUGAA